CUCCCAUGGAUAUUAGCUGAUGAGUUUUUUUUCUUGUGUUUAGUAUGAAGAAGGCAAUGCUUGGAGUGAUUGUGAUUGUCCUACAGGUAGUUCUGGUGUCCAGUCAAGCAUGCCCAACAUGGUUUAUACGCCAAGCAAACAAGUAAUUAGAUGAGGAGAUGUGUGGUCCUCUCAAUCGCACAGGGAUACUCUGUAGUCACUGCCAACCAGGACUGGGACCAGCUGUCUUCUCUUACUACAAAGAGUGUAAGGAAUGCAUGCCACAACCUUUAGGAUGGUUACUCUUCUUUGUCAGGCUUACAGUACCAUUGACUUUGAUUUGUGUGAUUGUUAUUGUGUUCCGGAUAAAAUUUGUUUCUCCAGUUUUGUACAGCUUUGUUUUGAUUGCUCAGGUGCUAAACACUGUAUUGUGUAGAAAUGACCCAUUCGAUAUAAGUGGAUAUACUCCCUCCUAUUCAUUUUAUAAAUUUGUGGCUGAUUUUGUGGGACUAUUCAAUUUGGACUUUUUUAUGUUCUUAAUUCCUCCCUUUUGUAUUAGUGAGCAAAUGAGCACACUCACAGUCGUAGCAUUGGAAUACCUAGAAGCUCUAUAUCCAAUCGCUUUCACUUUGGCUGUAUACUUGUUCAUUUCACUCCACGACAGAGGAUACAGGAUAAUUGUAAAUUGCUGGAGGCCAUUUCACAAGUGCUUAGCAAGAUUUCGGAGACGCUGGGAACUAAAAGGCUCUGUAGUGAAUGCGUUCGCAACCUUCUUUUUACUAUCCUACAGCAAAUUUUGUUCGAUUUCAAUUAGCCUGUUGAAGCCAGUACCUUUAUAUGACAAAUACGGAAAUGUAACAUACACUCUCUUCUUCGCAGCUGAUUUCAAUGUGGGCACAUACAUUCCACUUGCUAUACUAGCAUCAAUCCUCACUGUUACCAUGGUACUUCUACCGGCAGUGUUUCUGUUAUGCUAUCAAAACCAUUUGUUUCAGAGAUGUCUCUUUUGCUGCAAAAUCAAAUGUGUUCUAAUUCACGAGCUAGCAAACAUCACACAGGGCUAUUUCAAGAAUGGAACAACACCUGGUACUAGGGACUGUCGGUGGUUUGCUGGAGUCUACCUACUGCUGAGAAUAAUAUUCAUAGCCUUUGGUUCUCAGACGUACCACUUUAUUGUGUACCAAAUGAUCUUCAUUAUUACACCUGCUAUCAUCCUUGGCCUACGACCAUACAAGAAAGACCGUUACAACUAUUUUGAUGCUUUUCUCCUAGUACUGUUUGCAAUGGGGUCAGCUUGGUUCAUUUACCACGAGGCAUUUAGGAAUAGCCCAUGGUUUUUUGUCUUUAUUAUCGUUACAUUUAUACUACUGCUGUACAUCUUAGUGUUUAUUUCGUGGAUGAAAUCUUCCCUCACUAGUCGGUGUGGUUAUAGCUGCUGCCCUCAAAGACGAGCUAUACAACAUACAGGAUCGUUUACAGAUAACGAAGCCCUUCCACAUCGUAUCAGUGAUCCAAGCGAAUACACACCACUGUUACCACCAACCACUUGAUUACAUACCUGCUGUUAGCAGAAUACUCAGCAAACAACAGAUACUAGAACGAACUAUAUAGAUGUACCCGGUAUGUUUACUACGAUUAUUUCAUAGUUAUGAUAAGUCCUUGGGUUUUUUUUUGUUACAAAAACAUCAACACCAUGCAUAUACGUACAAGCACUAUAUGUACAUGCACUAUACUUGGUAUACUUCAUGUACAGUGGUGUAGUGAAAGUAUUUCUAGUCACUAUAGAUAAAACAAAAGCACUUAUUUCAAUCCUGUUUUGCCUGAUUUCGUAAUUAUUGCAAGUUAUCAAAUUAGUGUGGACACUCAUAAACUAAUUUAUGCAUGGGGUAAUAAGGAUGAGUACACUUUGAGUCCCAUGCAUGCACUCAUUCGUAAAUAUACCCGUUAGUUA